AUUCAGUGCACGUGUACGGACGAUUGUUGCCGUCACCAUUGUAAUUAAUAGGAUUGGACUCAUUUUGUUCUCGACAAACCUUGAAGAACGUGUUUCCGGUCAACAGAUGGCGCACCUCAUCUUCCGCACAGUACGUGAUUGUGUGGCAGUGACGUGGUUGAAUGGCGUCAUUACACUGCAGGCACAUCAACGACAUCCCUAAAACACAAACACUAUACUCCUGCUGAUCGACAAUUACAGGAAAACAAUGGUUAGUAUGAUGUACUCUGGAAGUAAAAGUGGACAUUUAAAAUAAAACAUGUGAUCUGAGAUUGAAAAACGACUAAGAGAUCUUUAGUUUAGAUACACUAUACACCCUAUAGGAUGUCAAAUACCAUAUACAUGUAAGAUGGAUUUAUUUUGUUACAUUUUACAUUAUUAGAAUUAUUGACUGUCGGUCAUUUUAAUUAUUCAUUGGUUUUGACAUUGUGGUUUAUCAACAGAAAAAAUCUAUCUGGUCUAUCUGGGGUCAAACACAGACGUAGAUUUCCUAAACGUAACCAUUACUUACUUUUUUAAACUUACUUUUUAUAAAAAAAAAUCUGUCAUAUGCUGAAACUCAUAAUUGUUAACUAUCUAGAGGUCCUAAUAAUUACUCUUUUUAUAUCAGAAGUAAAGCAUCGUCUUAUUGUUCAGAGAGAAAAACUCUCUCAACAUAUUGCGUAUUAAUACACCCAUUUAUUAAAAACAUAUAGUUAGAAGAUAUAUACUGUAUGAUAUCUCGGAUUAUGAAUAUAUUAACGAUAAUGGUACUUGUAUCUGUAUAUGAAAACCAUGCGAUAUGAAGAGGCUUUUCCUCGGAUGUUGGAUUCAGCUUUAUAUGAAGGCAAAUAAGCAGGUAACUCAUCAGCGCUUGCCUCGUUUGAAUUUUAUUUUAGUAAUCCCUUUAAAUAGAUUUUUUUUUCUGAUGAAAUCAGUUUAUCAUUAAUUAUUAUCAUUAAAAUACUGUAUGUUGGUGUUGUCGCCUACAUAAACUACAUAAGCUGGUGAGAUUGAAUAUUUAACGUCGAUCUUCUACACGUGACAAAAAUUGAGGACAAUAUUAUGGUUUCCCGAUAGCAGAUGCAAAUCUAUGAUGAAAUUGGAAAAUCUUAAAUAUCGGAUACUGUGCCAUUUGUAAAGCAAGAGGUGUGGGGUGGGGGUGGGGGGGGUACUCAGGAGUAGAGAGGAAUGUUUUAAAAAUACUGUCUCAUUUUAACAGUUUACAGGGUCUACCACAGGUGUUUUAGGACAGGACCGACCAUCCCCCUCCCUCGCCCCAAGUAUCUAGACUCCCGGAACUUUACUCAUUUUUUUCAUAGAAUUAUCCUUUUAUGGCAUAUUUAUAAACUAAUGUAUCCAUUGGUUACAUAAAAUGUGUUUCUGUGUAUUAUAAUGAAAUCAACGAAUAAAACCACGUUUCACAGUGAAUAAAAU
rnacentral:sRNA from 1 species